rnacentral:lncRNA from 1 species
GUGUAGUGAGAAGGAUGAAGGAAUAACCAAAAGGGUGAAAGAUGUGUUAGUAAAAACACCCCUAAGGUGGCUGGCCUUUGUAGUGUUAGAGAGCUAUUUUUCUUUUGCCUCUUUGUUGUUUUAACACUUCAAAAACCCUAUUGAACAAUAUCUCUAUAAAGUUCCUUAUAUAGACAAAAAGAAACCUAGUCAACCACUUGACUAAAUAUCUCUCCCUUUCCACUUAAAGUGGCCGGCCUCUUGUGUUGGAUUUGGGCUUUGGGCUUUUAUAUAUUUCAAGUCAUCCAAUGCUUGAAUAAAAACCCAAUGGGUUUAGGCCCAAUGGGCCCAAUUAAACCCGAACGUUUCUUUAAGCCCAAAACGAUCUU